ensembl:lncRNA
AUUUAAGGGCUGACUGCCAUUGGGGAAGGUUCUCUUUCUGGAGGCUUCUCCUUUGUGGAGCUUUUUUUGUCAUGAGUCUGACUCUUCAGUUAUAGGCUCUCAGCAGCUGUGGAGCUUCACUGAGGUAAGCAUGUGACUCUUCACACACCUGAAGCCUUUCAAUAGCAGCUGAAGAGCCCAAACUUGAUGCUGACAGCUACUCUCUGACCAGGUUCCCCAACACCCUCGCACAAUGAGCAGCCGUUGCACAGCCUUAAAAACAGGUGGGAUCGGUCCCUUCAGACAUGCAAGAAACUAUCCCGUUUUCCGGAGUAGUAUUUUCCACACAUGAAUGCGUUUCCAGGUGCUUCAGAGGAUUCUAACACAAGAGAUCAUCUGGGGAAAUCCUCAUUUCAAUCACUGCAGGACGGAAGCUGUGCCAGAUCUCCUUCGGCCUUCAACGUGAGCAGGUUCAAGACCCUGCUCAUUAAAAACUAGUUGGAAAAAAAUCAGUAAGGAGAAACUUUACAACAAACAAACUCAAUCCUUGCAGUUGAUGUUGCUAGUAAGUGAAAUAUAAUUUUGGCCUGGGUGAAGGCGGGGGGGGGUAUUUUGUUUUCAGUAACUGAAACAGUGGGUUUUGGUAUGCUCCCUAUUCCUUUCUUUGACUGGGAAUGAUUUUACUGAAAUACAGGAAAGUCUGUGUUGUUUUCAAAGGAAAAAGAUUCAAUUUCCUGAGCAGCCCUAUAAAUGGUUGCAGAUCCUGAUCUGGGCUAGGGGACUGCCCCUUGGACUAGUCCAGGCAGAGAAUGGAGCCAUCUUCCUGACAAGUUCCCUGAAAUCUUGGCGGAUGAUUUGUGCACUUGCAAAUCAAACAGGUCACACCUCCCUACUCCCAGAUCUUUGUGUACCUACAAGUGAAACCAAGAACAGGUUUCCCUUGCAAAUAUUACUCUUACUCCUAACUUCUCUAACUGUAAUAGCAGGAGAAAGAAGAGGUUAACAGGUUAGAACAUAUCAGAAAUGACCUUUAAGAAGUCACCAUUAGAGCCCUGAUACCAUGCUGCUGAAGCCAGGAGGAGCCCAGUUCAGUGGGCUGAAGUCUGAAGCAUGAAAGUCAUCAACAGCAACGUUAAAUUGCACUGUGCUCAAAAGGCAGAGACUUCGUUAAGUCUAGGGGAAAGUGAAGGGGAAGGACGUGGAAGAAAUUAUUUGUUUAUGAGCAAGGAAUGGACACUGUUUUCAACUCUGUAUUGCUUGAAUCUGUGUACUCAUAUAAAAGAAAAUCUUAAGGUUAAAAUAAGUAUCUGUAAGUGUCUGCUGGCAUGUGUGGCCUCUGGCAGCUGGUGAUCGUGGAGCUUUAAGUCCAUUCCCAGUUUCUAGGCACAUAUUUCCCUUUUAAACCUCUUGUACACUGUGCUGACAAUGGCAGAAGCACUGAAAACUCCUAAGGGUUAGGGUGAACCCCAAUGGCACACAGUUACUAAGCUGGCUUUAAUGACACUAUUUCUGUCAACUACUUUGAUUUUCUAUUAGUAAAUGGAGUCUCCAUUUUGCUGUUUAAACAGCAAAGAAAAAGCUGUCCUCUGUGCCAGCUGGUUAGUAUUUCAACAAUUAAGACUGUGUGUUUAGCUCCUUUACUAAACUUCAUCAGAGUAA